rnacentral:rRNA from 1 species
UACAGAGGGUGCGAGCGUUGUUCGGAAUUAUUGGGCGUAAAGGGCGCGUAGGCGGUCGGAUAAGUCUUGUGUGAAAUCUUCGGGCUCAACUCGAAGUCUGCACAGGAAACUAUCUGGCUUGAGUGUGGGAGAGGUGAGUGGAAUUCCUGGUGUAGCGGUGAAAUGCGUAGAUAUCAGGAGGAACACCUGUGGCGAAAGCGGCUCACUGGACCACAACUGACGCUGAGGCGCGAAAGCUAGGGGAGCAAACAGG